rnacentral:rRNA from 1 species
CAGCAGCCGCGGUAAUACAGAGGGUGCAAGCGUUAAUCGGAAUUACUGGGCGUAAAGCGCGCGUAGGUGGUUUGUUAAGUUGGAUGUGAAAGCCCCGGGCUCAACCUGGGAACUGCAUCCAAAACUGGCAAGCUAGAGUACGGUAGAGGGUGGUGGAAUUUCCUGUGUAGCGGUGAAAUGCGUAGAUAUAGGAAGGAACACCAGUGGCGAAGGCGACCACAUGGACUGAUACUGACACUGAGGUGCGAAAGCGUGGGGAGCAAACAGGAUUAGAUACCCCAGUAGUCCCUGUCUCUUAUAA